AUUGGACGCUGGCGGCAGGCUUAACACAUGCAAGUCGAGCGGAGAGAGGUAGCUUGCUACUGAUCUUAGCGGCGGACGGGUGAGUAAUGCUUAGGAAUCUGCCUAUUAGUGGGGGACAACAUUUCGAAAGGAAUGCUAAUACCGCAUACGUCCUACGGGAGAAAGCAGGGGAUCUUCGGACCUUGCGCUAAUAGAUGAGCCUAAGUCGGAUUAGCUAGUUGGGGGGGUAAAGGCCUACCAAGGCGACGAUCUGUAGCGGGUCUGAGAGGAUGAGCCGCCACACUGGGACGGAGACACGGCCCAGAAUCCUACGGGAGGCAGCAGUGGGGAAUAUUGGACAACGGGGGGAACCCUGAUCCAGCCAUGCCGCGUGUGUGAAGAAGGCCUUAUGGUUGUAAAGCACUUUAAGCGAGGAGGAGGCUACUUAGAUUAAUACUCUGGGAUAGUGGACGUUACUCGCAGAAUAAGCACCGGCUAACUCUGUGCCAGCCGCCGCGGUAA
rnacentral:rRNA from 1 species